rnacentral:lncRNA from 1 species
AAAAGAGUCCCCUUUUUUCCAGUCAGCCAAUAAGAAUACAAAGUAAUAUGUAAAUUAAACAGAAAUGAUCAUGUCUGCAUUGAGUCACAUUCUGAAAUAGGCAGAUUUUAGAUGAGAGGUUGGGGCACAGGCUACCGGCACUACUGUUGUAAACUCUCAAAGCAAACAACUCCCAGGUGUUGAUGCUCUGCCGAUGACACACACACACACACACCCCUCCCGUCCUUCCAGCAUGACUGCACACAGACCCCACCCUAAGGACAGAGUCAGCCUGAACAUCACCACAAAACGGAACAAUAAAACCAACGAGAAUUUUCUUUCACACCAUCAGCACACUUCAGUGGAUCCUCCCUGCUCACACUGCUGAGAACAGUGCAUUGAAUGAGUUGAGUUUAAGCUUUGUAAGCUUUUUUGUUGUAUUUAUACAGUUUCUGUGUGAUUUUGUUUAUUUUGAUAAGAUUGAGAUAAAUGCAGUAUAUUAAGGGUCUUGGGCUUUUGUAACAGAGUUCCGGACUCAUUUAAUUUACAUCGAAUAGGCCCCUCAUCCACCUCCCCUAUCGAAUGGGUUUUUCACCUGCAUGCCCACAGUUGUUUCCUGAGGUUUCUGAACACACCCUGUCUGGUAGCCGGGUGACGAAGCUAGGCGGGAGAUCUCUCAAUUACCCGCACCUGCAUCUCAUCAGCCAUCUGCACACCUGGUCCUGAUCAUCACCUCUUCUCUUCAUAAGCUCUGACCUGACAUCCAUUCCCCGCUGGAUCGUUAGCAAUGAACAUCAUUCUCCCGGAACAUUCACCCACCCGCCUGGUCGUCGGUGGCUUCUGUGACAUCAUUGGAUCUGCCUAUUCA